AGCCCCGUGGUGAAGAGCACAUUGGAUUGCAAAUCCGAAGGCGUAGAUGAGAGUCUGCCGGGGCUU
rnacentral:tRNA from 1 species